rnacentral:rRNA from 1 species
UACGAAGGGGGCUAGCGUUGCUCGGAAUCACUGGGCGUAAAGGGUGCGUAGGCGGGUCUUUAAGUCAGGGGUGAAAUCCUGGAGCUCAACUCCAGAACUGCCUUUGAUACUGAGGAUCUUGAGUACGGGAGAGGUGAGUGGAACUGCGAGUGUAGAGGUGAAAAUUCGUAGAUAUUCGCAAGAACACCAGUGGCGAAGGCGGCUCACUGGCCCGAUACUGACGCUGAGGCACGAAAGCGUGGGGGAGCAAACAGG